CCUCCUGAAUCAGAAUCUGCAUUUUAGAAGUCCCCUGGGAAUUUAAUGUACAUUAAAGUAGGAAGAAGUGUUCAUUGAGAACACCUCUUCCUCCAUAAGUGCUGAGAGUGGAGCUCUCCCUGCCCCUGACUCCCAAGCAUGUGGCUUGGCCUGGCCAACAAGAGCACUGCAUCCCCAGGCAACAAUGAUUAAUUAGCUUAGAGGUAAGCAUGUGACACAGGUCAUUCCAAGCACCCUAAAGAUUGGAAUUUGUGUAGGAACUACUCAGCUGAGACCAUCUUUUUUUCCCUAGGACUCCUAGCAGUAAGAGUGACCUGAUCAUGGACACCAUAUGAAACCUGAAAAUGAAACCAACAUUGCAGAAGGACAAGCCAAGAGAUGGGGGAAAAACUGAAUCUUGAUGCCAUCACCUUAGCUCCUGGGUCAAGAGGUGGGCAUCUUUGGCUCUACCACACCUGCUACGUGGCUCUCCAGGAGGUCAAGAGGAAGAGUAACAGUAAUAGCCAGCAUUUACUGAACAUUAACCCUUCUCCAGGCCCUGGGCUAGCAUCUUACAUCAUUUGAUCAUCCCCACAACCAUAUGAGGUGAAGAGAAAGAGAGCAGGACUGGAAGAUUAUUCCCUUCCGAAGUCAAGACACCUGGAUGGCAUCUCUCAAAUACACCCUGUGAUCUGGGUCCCCACAGCAGUUCAGCAGAAAAGUCCAAAUUAGGAAGAAGGCAGUCAAGCCACCUCAGGUUCAAAUUUCACGUCUCCCUUUCUAGCUGCGUGACCCUGGACACAUCACCUAACCUAGCCAACGGGUUGUCACAGUCAUCUUAUCUACAAAAAUUGGAAAAAUAAUCCCAUGUGCCACACAAGGCUGUAUACGGGAUUAAAUGAGGUAGCUCAUAUAAAGCUUUUGGCCCAGUGCUUAGCAAACAGUAGGAGUCCAAUAAAUGCUUUUUUAAAAAAAUAAGUAGUUUGUGAAACUUUUCUCAUCACUAGGAAAAAAGUGUACUUCAAAUACACUUGACCCUUGAACAACACUAUUUGAACUGCACAAAUCCACUUAUUGAUUUUUUUUCAAUAAGGUUAUUGGAAAUUUGGGGGAUAUUUGAGACAAUUUGAAAAAACUCAGAAUAACUGCAUACCUAGAAAUAUCAAAAGAAUUAAGAAAAAAAUGUCAUAAGUGCAUAAAAUAUAUGUAGAUACUAGCCUAUCCUUACAUAGGCAUAGGUGAGUGAUAUUUAAUAUAAAAUUAAUGUGUUAGUUUUCUUACUGUUUUAUAACUUUGCUUUCAAAUAAUUACGUCACCAUACGGUAUGCCUCUUUCUCGUAAUUGGAGAAACUGUGUAUCAGCCUAUCAUCACAGGUGUUUUAUUUUAAAUGUAACAAAGUGUGCAAUAUUGUUUUAUGAAUAUGACCGUGAUACUCUAUGCCAUAAAAUUUUUAUAAUGAUUUAUUCAUUAAUGUAUGCUAGGCUACCGUGAUGCGAUCAUAUCAGUUACACAAGGCCACUGUAAAACAAUCACACUGCUGCUGCUUCCCUAUCAAGGCAUGAAUUGCUGUACCUGUAAAUGAACAUGAAUUGCUUUCUCACAUGACCUUUUAAUUUUUGAUGUCUAGUGUUAGUAGUACUGCAGUGUUUUGUAUCAUGUAAGAUGGUAUUGAUGUAGGUACUAACAUGAUUCAUCUUGUAAACAGACAACAUAAACUUACGGUAGCAAUAAAUACA